rnacentral:rRNA from 1 species
AUUGAACGCUGGCGGCAGGCCUAACACAUGCAAGUCGAGCGGCAGCGGGAAAGUAGCUUGCUACUUUUGCCGGCGAGCGGCGGACGGGUGAGUAAUGCCUGGGGAUCUGCCCAGUCGAGGGGGAUAACUACUGGAAACGGUAGCUAAUACCGCAUACGCCCUACGGGGGAAAGCAGGGGACCUUCGGGCCUUGCGCGAUUGGAUGAACCCAGGUGGGAUUAGCUAGUUGGUGAGGUAAUGGCUCACCAAGGCGACGAUCCCUAGCUGGUCUGAGAGGAGGAGCAGCCACACUGGAACUGAGACACGGUCCAGACUCCUACGGGAGGCAGCAGUGGGGAAUAUUGCACAAUGGGGGAAACCCCGAUGCAGCCAUGCCGCGUGUGUGAAGAAGGCCUUCGGGUUGUAAAGCACUUUCAGCGAGGAGGAAAGGUUGGUAGCUAAUAACUGCCAGCUGUGACGUUACUCGCAGAAGAAGCACCGGCUAACUCCGUGCCAGCCGCCGCAGUAA